rnacentral:tRNA from 1 species
GAGGGCAUAUCUCAGUGGUAGAGCACAUGCUUAGCAUGCACAAGGUCCUGGGUUCAAUCCCCAGUACCUCUA